ensembl:ncRNA C14F11.23 ncRNA
GAAGGACGGAGGAUAGGAGAAGGUGAGAAGAUAAAUUGAUGCUUCUUUCCCUCAACAAUUUGUCAGAGGAGCAUUUCCUGUUCUUUAGUUUUCUAAAGCAACAGGUUGUUG